GAUGAGCCUGCGGCGGAUUAGCUAGUUGGCAGGGUAACGGCCUACCAAGGCGACGAUCCGUAGCCGGCCUGAGAGGGCGGACGGCCACACUGGCACUGACAUACGGGCCAGACUCCUACGGGAGGCAGCAGCCGGGAAUUUUGGGCAAUGGGCGAAAGCCUGACCCAGCAACGCCGCGUGAAGGAUGAAAUCCCUCGGGAUGUAAACUUCGCAAGAAUGGGAAGAAUAAGUAGAAGAUAACACCUUCUAUGAUGACGGUACCAUUUGUAAGCUCCGGCUAACUCCGUGCCAGCAGCCGCGGUAAUACGGGGGGAGCAAGCGUUGUUCGGAUUUACUGGGCGUAAAGGGCGCGUAGGCGGCCACGACAAGUCAGUUGUGAAAUCUCUGGGCUUAACUCAGAACGGUCAACUGAUACUGUCGGGCUAGAGUGCAGAAGGGGCAACUGGAAUUCUCGGUGUAGCGGUGAAAUGCGUAGAUAUCGAGAGGAACACCUGCGGCGAAGGCGGGUUGCUGGGCUGACACUGACGCUGAGGCGCGAAAGCUAGGGGAGCGAACGGGAUUAGAUACCCCGGUAGUCCUAGCCUUAAACGAUGAAUGCUUGGUGU
rnacentral:rRNA from 1 species